rnacentral:rRNA from 1 species
GGGUUGUGAGGUUAAGCGACUAAGCGUACACGGUGGAUGCCCUGGCAGUCAGAGGCGAUGAAGGACGUGCUAAUCUGCGAUAAGCGUCGGUAAGGUGAUAUGAACCGUUAUAACCGGCGAUUUCCGAAUGGGGAAACCCAGUGUGAUUCGUCACACUAUCAUUAACUGAAUCCAUAGGUUAAUGAGGCGAACCGGGGGAACUGAAACAUCUAAGUACCCCGAGGAAAAGAAAUCAACCGAGAUUCCCCCAGUAGCGGCGAGCGAACGGGGAGCAGCCCAGAGCCUGAAUCAGUGUGUGUGUUAGUGGAAGCGUCUGGAAAGGCGUGCGAUACAGGGUGACAGCCCCGUACACAAAAAUGCACAUGCUGUGAGCUCGAUGAGUAGGGCGGGACACGUGGUAUCCUGUCUGAAUAUGGGGGGACCAUCCUCCAAGGCUAAAUACUCCUGACUGACCGAUAGUGAACCAGUACCGUGAGGGAAAGGCGAAAAGAACCCCGGCGAGGGGAGUGAAAAAGAACCUGAAACCGUGUACGUACAAGCAGUGGGAGCACGCUUAGGCGUGUGACUGCGUACCUUUUGUAUAAUGGGUCAGCGACUUAUAUUCUGUAGCAAGGUUAACCGAAUAGGGGAGCCGAAGGGAAACCGAGUCUUAACUGGGCGUUAAGUUGCAGGGUAUAGACCCGAAACCCGGUGAUCUAGCCAUGGGCAGGUUGAAGGUUGGGUAACACUAACUGGAGGACCGAACCGACUAAUGUUGAAAAAUUAGCGGAUGACUUGUGGCUGGGGGUGAAAGGCCAAUCAAACCGGGAGAUAGCUGGUUCUCCCCGAAAGCUAUUUAGGUAGCGCCUCGUGAAUUCAUCUCCGGGGGUAGAGCACUGUUUCGGCAAGGGGGUCAUCCCGACUUACCAACCCGAUGCAAACUGCGAAUACCGGAGAAUGUUAUCACGGGAGACACACGGCGGGUGCUAACGUCCGUCGUGAAGAGGGAAACAACCCAGACCGCCAGCUAAGGUCCCAAAGUCAUGGUUAAGUGGGAAACGAUGUGGGAAGGCCCAGACAGCCAGGAUGUUGGCUUAGAAGCAGCCAUCAUUUAAAGAAAGCGUAAUAGCUCACUGGUCGAGUCGGCCUGCGCGGAAGAUGUAACGGGGCUAAACCAUGCACCGAAGCUGCGGCAGCGACGCUUAUGCGUUGUUGGGUAGGGGAGCGUUCUGUAAGCCUGCGAAGGUGUGCUGUGAGGCAUGCUGGAGGUAUCAGAAGUGCGAAUGCUGACAUAAGUAACGAUAAAGCGGGUGAAAAGCCCGCUCGCCGGAAGACCAAGGGUUCCUGUCCAACGUUAAUCGGGGCAGGGUGAGUCGACCCCUAAGGCGAGGCCGAAAGGCGUAGUCGAUGGGAAACAGGUUAAUAUUCCUGUACUUGGUGUUACUGCGAAGGGGGGACGGAGAAGGCUAUGUUGGCCGGGCGACGGUUGUCCCGGUUUAAGCGUGUAGGCUGGUUUUCCAGGCAAAUCCGGAAAACUAAGGCUGAGGCGUGAUGACGAGGCACUACGGUGCUGAAGCAACAAAUGCCCUGCUUCCAGGAAAAGCCUCUAAGCAUCAGGUAACAUCAAAUCGUACCCCAAACCGACACAGGUGGUCAGGUAGAGAAUACCAAGGCGCUUGAGAGAACUCGGGUGAAGGAACUAGGCAAAAUGGUGCCGUAACUUCGGGAGAAGGCACGCUGAUAUGUAGGUGAAGUCCCUCGCGGAUGGAGCUGAAAUCAGUCGAAGAUACCAGCUGGCUGCAACUGUUUAUUAAAAACACAGCACUGUGCAAACACGAAAGUGGACGUAUACGGUGUGACGCCUGCCCGGUGCCGGAAGGUUAAUUGAUGGGGUUAGCGCAAGCGAAGCUCUUGAUCGAAGCCCCGGUAAACGGCGGCCGUAACUAUAACGGUCCUAAGGUAGCGAAAUUCCUUGUCGGGUAAGUUCCGACCUGCACGAAUGGCGUAAUGAUGGCCAGGCUGUCUCCACCCGAGACUCAGUGAAAUUGAACUCGCUGUGAAGAUGCAGUGUACCCGCGGCAAGACGGAAAGACCCCGUGAACCUUUACUAUAGCUUGACACUGAACAUUGAGCCUUGAUGUGUAGGAUAGGUGGGAGGCUUGGAAGUGUGGACGCCAGUCUGCAUGGAGCCGACCUUGAAAUACCACCCUUUAAUGUUUGAUGUUCUAACGUUGACCCGUAAUCCGGGUUGCGGACAGUGUCUGGUGGGUAGUUUGACUGGGGCGGUCUCCUCCUAAAGAGUAACGGAGGAGCACGAAGGUUGGCUAAUCCUGGUCGGACAUCAGGAGGUUAGUGCAAUGGCAUAAGCCAGCUUGACUGCGAGCGUGACGGCGCGAGCAGGUGCGAAAGCAGGUCAUAGUGAUCCGGUGGUUCUGAAUGGAAGGGCCAUCGCUCAACGGAUAAAAGGUACUCCGGGGAUAACAGGCUGAUACCGCCCAAGAGUUCAUAUCGACGGCGGUGUUUGGCACCUCGAUGUCGGCUCAUCACAUCCUGGGGCUGAAGUAGGUCCCAAGGGUAUGGCUGUUCGCCAUUUAAAGUGGUACGCGAGCUGGGUUUAGAACGUCGUGAGACAGUUCGGUCCCUAUCUGCCGUGGGCGCUGGAGAAUUGAGGGGGGCUGCUCCUAGUACGAGAGGACCGGAGUGGACGCAUCACUGGUGUUCGGGUUGUCAUGCCAAUGGCACUGCCCGGUAGCUAAAUGCGGAAGAGAUAAGUGCUGAAAGCAUCUAAGCACGAAACUUGCCCCGAGAUGAGUUCUCCCUGACUCCUUGAGAGUCCUGAAGGAACGUUGAAGACGACGACGUUGAUAGGCUGGGUGUGUAAGCGCAGCGAUGCGUUGAGCUAACCGGUACUAAUGAACCGUGAGGCUUAACCUUACAACGCCGAAGGUGUUU